rnacentral:rRNA from 1 species
AGUGAACGCUGGCGGUAGGCCUAACACAUGCAAGUCGAACGGCAGCACAGUAAGAGCUUGCUCUUACGGGUGGCGAGUGGCGGACGGGUGAGGAAUACAUCGGAAUCUACUUUUUCGUGGGGGAUAACGUAGGGAAACUUACGCUAAUACCGCAUACGACCUACGGGUGAAAGCAGGGGAUCUUCGGACCUUGCGCGAUUGAAUGAGCCGAUGUCGGAUUAGCUAGUUGGCGGGGUAAAGGCCCACCAAGGCGACGAUCCGUAGCUGGUCUGAGAGGAUGAUCAGCGACACUGGAACUGAGACACGGUCCAUACUCCUGCGGGAGGCAGCAGUGGGGAAUAUUGGACAAUGGGCGCAAGCCUGACCCAGCCAUACCGCGUGGGAGAAGAAGGCCUUCGGGUUGUAAAGCCCUUUUGUUGGGAAAGAAAAGCAGCAGGUUAAUACCCAGCUGUUCUGACGGUACCCAAAGAAUAAGCACCGGCUAACUUCGUG